ACCGAUAGUGAACUAGUACCGUGAGGGAAAGGUGAAAAGAACCCCUAAAGGGGAGUGAAAUAGAACUGAAACCGUAUGCUUACAAGCCGUUGGAGCAAUUUAUUGUGACAGCGUGCCUAUUGAAGAAUGAGCCGGCGAGUUAAUUUAUGUAGCAAGGUUAAGAUAUUAAGUAUUGGAGCCGAAGCGAAAGCGAGUCUGAAUAGGGCGUUUUAGUUGCAUGGAUUAGACCCGAAACCGUGUGAGCUACCCAUGACCAGGGUGAAGCGAAAUUAACGUUUCGUGAAGGCCCGAACCCUUGUACGCUGCAAAGUGCUGGGAUGAGUUGUGGGUAGAGGAGAAAUUCCAAACGAACACGGAGAUAGCUGGUUCUCCCCGAAAUGUAUUUAGGUACAGCCUUAGGUAUUAACUGAUGGAGGUAGAGCACUGGAUGAGCUAGCGGGCGCAAGUUUAGCAAACUCAACCAAACUAAGAAUGCCAUCAGCCGAAUCCUAGGAGUGAGACAGUGACGGAUAAGCGCCAUUGUCGAAAGGGAAACAGCCCAGAUCGCAAGCUAAGGUCCCAAAGUUAUAGUUAAGUGGUAAAGGAGGUUGGAUCGCCCAGACAGCUAGUAGGUUGGCUUAGAAGCAGCCAUCCUUUAAAGAGUGCGUAAUAGCUCACUAGUCGAGGGGUUCUGCGCCGAAAAUUAUCGGGGCUAAACUAUACACCGAAGCUGCGGGAUUCUUUAUGAAUCGGUAGGGGAGCGUUCUCAAUGCACUGAAUCUGAAUUGUGAAAUUUGGUGGAGCGUUGAGAAGUGAGAAUGUCGGCAUGAGUAGCGACAAUCUUUGUGAGAAUCAAAGACACCGGAAGUCCGAGGUUUCCUACGCAACGUUGAUCGGCGUAGGGUUAGUCGGUCCUAAGGAGAAGCCGAAAGGUGAAUUCGAUGGACAGCUGGUCAAAAUUCCAGCACCGUAAUUAUCCUGUUAUGCAACGAAGGGACGCGAUAAGGACUGUUAAGCAUGCCUAUGGACAUGGUGUGUGGGGCCUUGUAGGGAAGUGAUUGUGGUUAAAAGAACAGUUACGUUAUUAACUGAGAAGGUUUCAGACCUUAAGGCUUCGGCCUUAAGGAAUUUAACACGAACUAUGUCGCCAAGAAAAGCUUCGUUGAUAGGGAUAUUAUGACCGUACCGAAAACCGACACAGGUGGACAGGGGUAAAAGCCCCAAGGUGAACGAGAAAACCAUCCUCAAGGAACUCGGCAAAUUAACCCCGUAACUUCGGAAUAAGGGGAGCCUAAAAUAUAUAGACUUCGCGUUGAAAGUAUUUUAGGCCGCAGAGAAUUGGUCUGAGCGACUGUUUAUCAAAAACACAGGUCCGUGCUAAAGCGAAAGCUGAUGUAUACGGGCUGACGCCUGCCCAGUGCCGGUAGGUUAAAGUGAAGAGUGAGAGCUUUGAUCUGAAGCCCCGGUGAACGGCGGCCGUAACUAUAACGGUCCUAAGGUAGCGAAAUCCCUUGUCGGGUAAGUUCCGACCUGCACGAAAGGCGUAACGACUUGGACACUGUCUCGAGGGUGGACUCGGUGAAAUUGCAUGACCCGUAAAGAUGCGGGUUACGCGCAGCAGGACAAAAAGACCCCGUGGAGCUUUACUGUAGCUUGGCAUUGAAUUGUGAUUAAUGAUGUGUAGGAUAGGCGGGAGACUAUGAAUUUUGAGCGUCAGCUCAAUUGGAGUCGCCCUUGAAAUACCGCCCUUCUUUGGUCUUGAUUCUAACUUUUUUAGGACAGUGUCUGGUAGGCAGUUUGACUGGGGCGGUCGCCUCCUAAAAUGUAACGGAGGCGCCCAAAGGUAACCUCAGGCUGGAUGGAAAUCAGCUUUUGAGUGCAUUGGCAUAAGGUUGCUUGACUGCGAGACCAACAAGUCGAGCAGGGACGAAAGUCGGGCAAAGUGAUCCCACGGUACCGAGUGGAAGGGCCGUGGCUUAACGGAUAAAAGCUACCCCGG
rnacentral:rRNA from 1 species